UUAUCUUUUACACAAUUUUAGCUUCCAUUGUUCCAAGCUCAUGCUCAGUUAAAACAGUGUGUCAGAGCAGCCAUUGAAAGAGCUGUUCAAGAAUGGAUUGGACCAGUUGUUGAUAGAUCCGUAAAGAUAUCAUUAACUACUUGUGAACAAAUAAUCAAAAAAGAUUUUGCAUUGGAUCCCGAAGAAUCGAGAAUGAGGGGAGCUGCACAUCACAUGAUCCGAAGCUUGACUGCUGGGAUGGUUAUGAUUACUUGCCGUGAUCCGUUAUUAAUUUCCAUCGUUAAUAACUUGAGAAAUGCUUUUACAACAGCCUUAAGAAAUCCUACCCCACAACAAAAGGAACUAACAGAACAUGCAUCUGACAUUGUUGCAAGAGAUAAUUUGGAACUAGCAUGUUGUUUUAUCCAAAAGACAGCUGUGGAAAAGGCUCUUCCUGAGAUUGACAAGCGACUUAGCAAUGUAAGUUAUAAAA